GGGCUUCGGCCCUGGGGAAAGCGGCGAACGGGUGAGUAUCGCGUGGGUAACCUGCCCUCGGCACCGGGAUAGCCCGAGGAAACUCGGAUUAAUACCGGACAGCCUCAUGAGCCCUCAGGCGAAUGAGAAAAGGUGGCUUCGGCUUCCGGCUGAGGAUGGGCCCGCGGCCGAUUAGCUAGUUGGUGAGGUAAUGGCUCACCAAGGCGACGAUCGGUAUCCGGCCUGAGAGGGCGGACGGACACACUGGGACUGAGACACGGCCCAGACUCCUACGGGAGGCAGCAGUGGGGAAUUGUUCGCAAUGGGCGCAAGCCUGACGACGCAACGCCGCGUGGAGGAUGAAGAUCUUCGGG
rnacentral:rRNA from 1 species